UAGAGUUUGAUCCUGGCUCAGAACGAACGCUGGCGGCGUGGAUAAGACAUGCAAGUCGAGCGAGAUUUUCUUUGGUAGCAAUACCGAAGAAAGUCUAGCGGCGAACGGGUGCUUGACACGUGGGCAACCUGCCAAGAAGUGGGGGAUAGCUCGCCGAAAGGCGAAUUAAUACCGCAUGUGAUAAGAGUGGACAUCUAUUCAAAAUCAAAGUCGGGGCAACCUGACGCUUCUUGAGGGGCCCGCGGCCUAUCAGCUAGUUGGUGAGGUAACGGCCCACCAAGGCUUUGACGGGUAGCUGGUCUGAGAGGACGACCAGCCACACUGGGACUGAGACACGGCCCAGACACCUACGGGUGGCAGCAGUCGAGAAUUUUUCUCAAUGGGGGAAACCCUGAAGGAGCGACGCCGCGUGGAGGAUGAAGGUCUUCGG
rnacentral:rRNA from 1 species